AUGUCGCUCUCCCUCUCUCUCUCCCACAGCCCCAGGCGGUUCCUCCCCCUCCUCCUCCCCGCCCCGCCCUUCGCAAUGCCUCCUCGCCGCGACCACGGCAAGCAGACGCAUCAGAGAUGGAAGCCCAAGGCCGCCCCCGCCCCCGCCCCAGCCCCCGCCCCGGCCCCCUCGUCCGCGGCCGUCGAGAGGAUGGCCCUUGCGCCGAGCGCGGCAGGGGCGGCGCAGGUGUGGGUGCCCAGGGGCUACGCGACCUCGGCGUCCUCGUCCUCGUCCUCCGCGGUCACCGCCGCCGAGCAGGGCGGCGCCGACGACAAGCUCUCCAGGCUGAUCAAGGGGGCCGCGGAGUUCUCGGUGGACAACAACACCUUCACCGAGGCGCAGAUCAGGGCCACCUUCUACCCCAAGUUCGAGAACGAGAAAUCUGAUCAGGAGACAAGAACUCGGAUGAUUGAGAUUGUGUCACAGGGAUUAGCCACCAUUGAGGUUACGCAAAAGCACUCAGGAUCUCUGUUUAUGUAUGCUGGUCACCUUGGUGGUGCAUAUGCCAAGAACAGCUUUGGAAAUAUCUUCACCGCCGUGGGCGUUUUUGUCCUGGGUCGCUUAUUUCGUGAAGCUUGGGGCAGCAAAGCUCCUAAAAUGCAAGCGGAAUUCAAUGAUUUUCUCGAGAAAAACCGAAUAUGUAUUUCAAUGGAACUUGUGACAGCUGUAUUAGGAGACCAUGGGCAAAGGCCAAAGGAUGAUUAUGCUGUGGUUACAGCUGUGACAGAAUUGGGCCAUGGCAAGCCUCAGUUCUAUUCUACCCCAGAGGUGAUUUCAUUUUGUCGGAAAUGGCGGCUACCAACAAAUCAUGUCUGGCUAUUUUCCACAAGGAAAUCUGCCACUUCAUUCUUUGCUGCCUAUGACGCUUUGUGUGAAGAGGGUACUGCCACACCUGUAUGCAAAGCCCUUGAUGAAAUAGCUGAUAUAUCUGUGCCAGGGUCAAAGGAUCAUGUAAUGGUGCAGGGUGAGAUUCUUGAAGGUCUGGUUGCCCGUAUUGUCAGUCGUGAAAGUUCAGUUCAAAUGGAAGAGGUUUUGAGGAACUUUCCAAUACCUUCAUUAGAUGGAGGUGACUCUGAUUUAGGACCAAGUUUACGAGACAUAUGUGCUGCUAAUAGGUCAGAUGAGAAGCAGCAAAUUAAAGCACUUCUUGAAAAUGUUGGAUCUUCAAUGUGUCCAGACCACCGUGAUUGGUUUGGAUACAGUGGUCUUGAGCCCCAGUCUCGAAAUGCUGAUAAAUCAGUUGUCACUCAUUUUUUGCAAGCACAUCCCACGGACUAUGCAACUAAGAAAUUACAGGAGAUGAUUGGUCUGAUGAAGCGGAAAAAUUUCUCUGCAUCUUUCAAAUCUUACUGGAAUUAUCAAAAGGUUGAUUCUCUUUCAAAUGAUAACUUGUGUUACAAGAUGGUUAUCCAUGUGUACAGUGAUUCUGUUUUUAGACGCUAUCAGCAAGAGAUGAGGAAAAAUCAAGAGUUGUGGCCACUGUACAGAGGUUUCUUUGUUGAUGUAAACCUGUUCAAGGCGAAUAAUAAGAAGGCUGCUGAACUUUCCAAAGACAGUAACACUUUACUGAGAAAUAUCAAUGGUGCUUUGGAUUCAAGUUUGUCAAGUAAGGAUGGUCUAGCUGACGAGGAUUCAAAUUUGAUGGUUAAACUAAAAUUUCUGACUUAUAAGAUAAGGACAUUUUUAAUUCGGAAUGGCCUGUCCACCCUCUUCAAAGAUGGCCCAUCUGCGUAUAGAACUUAUUACCUGAGGCAAAUGAAGAUUUGGGGAACAUCAGCAAGUAAGCAGAAAGAGCUCACCAAAAUGUUGGACGAAUGGGCUGUAUACAUCAGAAGAAAGUAUCAAAAUAAGCAGCUGCCAUCCUCAACAUAUCUUAGCGAAGCAGAACCUUUCCUUGAACAAUAUGCUAAGCGUAGUCCUGCAAACCAGGCUUUGAUAGGGGCUGCUGGUGACUUGGUUCAAACAGAAAAUUUCUUGGCCAUACUUGAUGCACAGAGAGAUGAAGAGGGUGACCUUCAGCCAGAACGUGGGACAGCUCCUUCUAGUCCUACGUCGACAUCCCUGGACGUUGUUUCGAAAACUGAGGGCCUUAUUGUCUUCUUUCCUGGUAUACCUGGUUGUGCGAAAUCUGCUUUAUGUGAGCAAAUAUUAAACACGCCCGGUGGCCUUGGUGAUAAUCGUCCUCUUCAUAGUUUGAUGGGAGAUCGUACUAAAGGAAGAUACUGGCAAAAGGUUGCUGAUGAGCGAAAAAAGAAACCAUUUAGAAUAACCCUCGCUGAUAAAAAUGCACCAAACGAGGAAGUCUGGCGGCAGAUUGAGGAUAUGUGUGGGAUGACAAAGGCUGCUGCUGUUCCUGUUAUUCCUGAUUCUGAAGGCACCGAUUCAAAUCCAUUCUCUCUUGAAGCUCUUGCUGUUUUCAUGUUUCGUGUACUCCAACGGGUCAAUCAUCCGGGAAAUCUGGACAAAUCAUCACCAAAUGCUGGCUAUAUUUUGCUAAUGUUUUACAACCUCUAUGAUGGCAAGUGCCGAAGAGAAUUUGAAAGUGAAUUAUAUGAGCGUUUUGGCUCUUUGGUUAAGAUGCCUCUCCUGAAGCCAGAGAGAGCUCCAUUGCCUGGUGAUGUCAAAACUAUCUUAGAUGAGGGAAUGAGCUUAUUCAGACUGCAUCAAAGCAGGCAUGGGAGAGUGGAGCCAUCAAAAGGUUCAUAUGCUCAAGAAUGGGCUCAGUGGGAGAAAAGACUACGUGUGGUCUUGUCAAGGAAUGCUAAUUAUCUUACAUCCAUUCAGGUUCCAUUUGAUGUUGCGGUGAAAGAAGUACUGGAACAGUUGAAGGCUGUUGCAAAAGGUGAUGUCAAAACUCCUGAUACUGCAAAGCGAAGGUUUGGGAAUAUCGUUUUUGCUGCAGUUACAGUACCCCAGGCAGAUAUAUUGAGCCUUCUCCGAAAGUUGGGCCAGAAUGAUGGUGAUGUAAACAAUUUUCUCAACGGCAUAAAAGUGGAGGAUAACCUAAGCAAGGCUCAUGUCACCCUUGCCCACAAAAGAGCCCAUGGUGUAGCUGCAGUUGCUAGCUAUGGAGUCUACCAGAAUCAGGAAGUCCCAGUGUCGUUUAACGCCUUCCUCUACACUGAUAAGAUGGCUGCUCUUGAGGCACAACUUGGAACUGUAAAUGGCGAGAAGAUCGAUUCCAAAAAUGACUGGCCACAUGUUACUCUUUGGACAGCCCCUGGUGUUGCACCAAAGGAAGCAAACAUGCUGCCGCAGCUGUUUUCAUCAGGACAAGCAAAACGUGUACUGAUCGACCCUCCGAUCACCAUCUCAGGAGUGCUUGACUUCUACUGA
rnacentral:rRNA from 1 species